CUUGACCCAUGGCCGGGUCUGGACCACACCAUUGGCUCAUCGCAGUUGUGAUUUGGUAGAAUUUUUGUCUGGGAGAGGAACCCCAUCACAUGUGUGUACAGGAAGUACUGCCAUGCUCUCCACAUCUUUCCUGAAAGGCAUCAUGGGAAGCCAAAGAAGUCAAGGCUUUUUCAGGAUCCCAUAUUAAAUCAACAGAACCUGGAAUAAUCACAGCAAACAGCAGUGUGCAAAUGAGGCAGCUCUGCUCUGCAGUUAGAAGACACCACAAGAGAAAAAGGCUUUCUUACCCAUACAGGGAGCCACUACUGAUUUUCUGUGUUCCUGAGCAAUCGGCUGAAGGCAUCUUUGUCUCCAGUUCUGCAUUCAUAAAAUCAGAAGUAAAAUAUGUUUCUGAAAUUACUUAAAGACCUUCGGUAGAAAGGUGAAGAAUUCUACUGACAUCUUUAUGGAACCAUAUAUCAAGGGAACAAAGACUGUAGAGAAAAGAGGCAUUGCUUGAGAAUAAACGGCUUCAAACGUAACAGCAAAUUAAAUGUAAAUUAAGGCUAAAUGUAAUAUCUUUAUGUCAGAACACCGUAAAAGCCAUGUCCUUGGAUGUAUGAAUCUGGGCUACAAAUUUUUUAAGAGUACAUAAUAAAA